GAUGAAGAACGCAGAGAAAUGCGAUAAGUAGUGUGAAUUGCAGAAUUCAGUGAAUCAUCGAAUCUUUGAACGCACAUUGCGCCCCUUGGUAUCCCGAGGGGCAUGCCUGUUCGAGCGUCAUUUCACCACUCAAGCCUGGCUUGGUGUUGGGCGACGUCCCCUUUAGGGACGCGCCUCGAAACGCUCGGCGGCGUGGCACCGGCUUUAAGCGUAGCAGAAUCUUUCGCUUUGGAAGUCGGGGCCCCGCCUGCCGGAAUACCUACUCGUAAGGUUGACCUCGGAUCAGGCAGGGAUACCCGCUGAACUUAAGCAUAUCAAUAAGCGGAGGA
rnacentral:misc_RNA from 1 species